UACAGAGGUCCCAAGCGUUGUUCGGAUUCACUGGGCGUAAAGAGCUCGUAGGCGGUUUGUCGCGUCGGCCGUGAAAUCUCCACGCUUAACGUGGAGCGUGCGGUCGAUACGGGCAGACUUGAGUUCGGUAGGGGAGACUGGAAUUCCUGGUGUAGCGGUGAAAUGCGCAGAUAUCAGGAGGAACACCGGUGGCGAAGGCGGGUCUCUGGGCCGAUACUGACGCUGAGGAGCGAAAGCGUGGGGAGCGAACAGG
rnacentral:rRNA from 1 species